rnacentral:lncRNA from 1 species
AUGGUGAAAUGCCUGACUGAGAGCUUGUUCCAGUACCACACACGCAGAAAGAAGACACACACACAGCUGACGAAAACCCAAAUCACCGUUGGCGCAAGACAGCUCUGUGUGUGGACCACACUCCUGCCACACACACACACACACACACACACACAACCCUCUAGCCCUGAACACGGACACACACACACUCACCCCUCUGCCCUGGUCCUGAGUAGGCGACCCACACACACACACACACACACACACGCAUAGACUUGGGUUCCACUAAAGUUAUGCCCAAGCUAUACAUCUCACACAACCUAAAGCCUUGCAUACACACACACACACACACACACCUUAAAGGCUUGCGCACACACACACGUCCUAAAGGCUUGCGUUGAACACUCCAAAUAAUCACUGUCAUCCAUUUUGGACCACAGUUUAAGAAAUUAACCAAUCAGUGAACAGAUAGCUGCUUUUUUUUUUAUUACUAUGUAAUAGUAACAUCCUUUCUAACUGACGGAGGGUUCCACCAAUGGGCAAAGGCACUGGAGCAUUCCGACAGGAGGCGGGCACAGUGGGGAAGGUUGUGAUUGGAGGAGAGAUAAUUGGGGCGGGCUUUGGAUGGACUGCAUGUUGUAAAUGUGUGUGAUUAAAUAAUGAUGACAAACGACUCUGUGUGCUGUCCAUGUUUAUUCAACCACAUCAGCAAUACAAGAUGGCCAGUAUCUCAGAACCCAUGAAGGAUGUAUUGAUUGAAAUGGACGCGGCAGGUAAACGUUGCAAAAUCAAUUUCAAGUAAGCCUAUUGUGUGUAUGUGUGUGUGUGUGUGUGUGUGUGUGUUUCGGAAUGACUUUCAAGCAAACCUAUUGUGUGUGUGUGCGUGUGUGUGUGAUUCAGAAUGACUUUCAAGCGAGCCUAUUGUCUGUGUGUGUGUGUGUGUGAUUCAGAAUGACUUUCAAGCGAGCCUAUUGUCUGUGUGUGUGUGUGUGUGAUUCAGAAUGACUUUCAAGCGAGCCUAUUGUCUGUGUGUGUGUGUGUGUGUGUGAUUCAGAAUGACUUCCAAGCAAGCCUAUUGUCUGUGAGUGUGUGUGAUUCAGAAGCAAGCCUAUUGCCAAUAAGGAUUUACCUGCACUUCAGAUGAUGCCAUUACAAAAACUGCAGUACUUUUCAGGUUUCAAUUCAUCAGGUACCUUCAUACAAUACAUGCGCAGCAAAGGCUAAUUGGCUAACUGAUCAAAGCAGAUGCUACAUGCAGAGCAAAGGCUAAUUG